GACGAACGCUGGCGGCGUGCUUAACACAUGCAAGUCGAACGGAGAGGCCCUGCUCUUGUGGGGUGCUCGAGUGGCGAACGGGUGAGUAACACGUGAGUAACCUGCCCUUGACUUUGGGAUAACUUCAGGAAACUGGGGCUAAUACCGGAUAGGAGCUCCUGCUGCAUGGUGGGGGUUGGAAAGUUUCGGCGGUUGGGGAUGGACUCGCGGCUUAUCAGCUUGUUGGUGGGGUAGUGGCUUACCAAGGCUUUGACGGGUAGCCGGCCUGAGAGGGUGACCGGCCACAUUGGGACUGCGAGACGGACCAGACUCCUACGGGAGGCAGCAGUGGGGAGUAUUGCGCAAUGGGCGGAAGCCUGAUGCAGCAACGCCGCGUGCGGGAUGACGGCCUUCGGGUUGUAAACCGCUUUCGCCUGUGACGAAGCGUGAGUGACGGUAAUGGGUAAAGAAGCACCGGCUAACUACGUG
rnacentral:rRNA from 1 species